AUUGAACGCUGGCGGCAUGCCUUACACAUGCAAGUCGAACGGCAGCACGGGGGCAACCCUGGUGGCGAGUGGCGAACGGGUGAGUAAUACAUCGGAACGUGUCCUGUAGUGGGGAUAGCCCGGCGAAAGCCGGAUUAAUACCGCAUACGCUCUACGGAGGAAAGGGGGGGAUCUUAGGACCUCCCGCUACAGGGGCGGCCGAUGGCAGAUUAGCUAGUUGGUGGGGUAAAGGCCUACCAAGGCGACGAUCUGUAGCUGGUCUGAGAGGACGACCAGCCACACUGGGACUGAGACACGGCCCAGACUCCUACGGGAGGCAGCAGUGGGGAAUUUUGGACAAUGGGGGCAACCCUGAUCCAGCAAUGCCGCGUGUGUGAAGAAGGCCUUCGGGUUGUAAAGCACUUUUGUCCGGAAAGAAAACGCCGUGGUUAAUACCCGUGGCGGAUGACGGUACCGGAAGAAUAAGCACCGGCUAACUACGUGCCAGCAGCCGCGGUAAUACGUAGGGUGCAAGCGUUAAUCGGAAUUACUGGGCGUAAAGCGUGCGCAGGCGGUCCGCUAAGACAGAUGUGAAAUCCCCGGGCUUAACCUGGGAACUGCAUUUGUGACUGGCGGGCUAGAGUAUGGCAGAGGGGGGUAGAAUUCCACGUGUAGCAGUGAAAUGCGUAGAGAUGUGGAGGAAUACCGAUGGCGAAGGCAGCCCCCUGGGCCAAUACUGACGCUCAUGCACGAAAGCGUGGGGAGCAAACAGG
rnacentral:rRNA from 1 species